rnacentral:rRNA from 1 species
UACGUAGGGGGCAAGCGUUGUCCGGAAUCAUUGGGCGUAAAGAGCGCGUAGGCGGUCCGGUAAGUCCGCUCUGAAAGUCCGGGGCUCAACCCCGGGAGGCGGGCGGAUACUGUCGGGCUAGAGUCCGGAAGAGGCGAGUGGAAUUCCUGGUGUAGCGGUGAAAUGCGCAGAUAUCAGGAGGAACACCGAUGGCGAAGGCAGCUCGCUGGGAUGGUACUGACGCUGAGGCGCGAAAGCGUGGGGAGCAAACAGG